rnacentral:ncRNA from 1 species
GCAGAGUAGAUUUUGAUGCGUUAAGUGACUGCUGGACGGGAAGUUGCCACAGUACGAAAAGCAUUCUUUGGUGAAUGCUUGCGGUAUCAUCAUCGCAUUCCGCUGC